AUGAGUUAUGCUCCUGGAGCACACCUUCUGUCCAGGCUAAACAUGAAAGCUGGGAGUACUGGAGAAGUCAGGCUGAAAAGUGACAUUCCUGGUUCAGAGUUACUGGCCACCCAAACCAUGUCACCAACUUCUCUCAAUUCUGAUGAAAUUGUUCUUAGAGGAGACAGGAAUUUUCUUGGAUACCUCUCCACAAGGCUGGAGACAGAUUCAAAUACUGCAUCAGGACACCAUGUUUUGUGUUUUGACUCUAGACCUGGCAUCUUUGUCUGCCUGAAGCCCAGCUCGUGGCAAUACUCUAGAACUAAACAUUUGUUCUUUUCACGAUCUCCAUGCAAAGGCAGGAUAAAUAUUCCCUAGGGGAUUUUUGAUAGCAGAAGAGAACAAACAAAUCCAACACUUUAUAAAGUACAUACAUUUACCAGCCAGAUAAUUCCACAUGUGUGGGAAUUACUGACUGUUUGCUCAUAGACCUUUCAAAUCUGCAGAACAGGAUCUGAAUAUGCUUCUCCUUAGAACCCAAAUAUUGACUCCUUUUUUACAACCACACAGGCCUCACUUGAGUGCUGGGAUAACUGUUUUUUCUGAUUGGAAAAAUAUUCUUGUGUUCACAUUUGAGACAAGGCAACUUAAUGCCCUUUUUUGUGUUUUGGGGUUGACUGGGCUUUCCUGGAAACUCUUAGGUUUUAUCACCCAGUUCACAUUUGAGCUGCUUUCUAUGCUUUCACACAAAAUAACUGUAUAGCCAUCAUUCCAUUACUCUGCACCCCCUCUCCCAAGGGUUUGGGAUGUACACAGAUACCCUAUCACAGCACAGCACUACUCUUUGAUCUGCCAAGGAUCUGAGUCUGCAACGGCAGAGAAUUACGCUCAGCUCUCUCAAGCCCCAGCACUUCACCUAUUAUUUCAAGAAAGUUGUCCCUGGAGGUAUUAAAUAACCACAAAGUGCUGCUGCAGCAGAGCUAAAUAUUUACUAAUAAUGUUAAACUAACACAUCGGGGGUUUUUUUUGCGAGGCAGCAUUGGCACAGAGCUCUGCUGUGUGCCAUAAGUACAUCUCAAGAUCUCAUAACUGUAAAGCUGGAGGAUUUCUGGUGCCAGACCUGGCAUCAGCUGCUGUGAAUGGCCAGAGCCUGUUGAUGCCAAUGGGGACAUAAUGCUUAACAGACUGAGAAUUUGCCUCC
rnacentral:lncRNA from 1 species